CAUCCAACAAUUGAUCUAAUCAACCCUAGAUCAAUUGUUUAGCUAAUCAUAACAAAGCAAGAUAAAACUACAAAAUUGUCCAUUAUGUGUAAUUGCAAAAAUUAAAAAGAGAUAUAAAAACUCUAAUGUUUGGUUGAUCUUCACACACUUGUUCUUGCCUUCAAAGUAGUCCAAAAACAAGCUUUUUUAACUUUGUUGUGCGAGCUUAUUGAGUUUAUAAGGGUUUGGAAUAAGUUUUUCCCGAGUUAUACUUUGGUCCCACAAGUUCUGGACACUGCAUAACUCACCGCGGCUGCGGCACGACAACGGUGAGAGCCUAACAUUCUGCCUGUGUUUGUGGCCUACUGCGGUCCCACCGCGAUCCAUCGUGAUCGCUGUGGAUUCAAACUCAGUCCCCUUUUUGCUUCUUUCCGCCCGGGUGCUUCUUGCUUGGAUGUUUUUUUCACAUUAUUGACUCCAAAAUACUCCAUAGUUCUUCCUAACUUGGAUUAGUCGCUGCGAAGCAAAAGAAUACCAAUUAGAACAUUUUUUGAUCAUUUAGCCUAUAAAACAACAAUAAAGCAUGGUAUAACUAGGGUGUAAAUAUCGUCUAUGUAGCCUAUUAUCAACAACCCACACUUAAUUCAUUACUAGUCCUCGAGCAAGCCACCACACUCUAUCAAAUUUCCUUCCCUAAGCUUUCUCCUUAACAAAUUACACCAUGAAAGAUUCACCAAAGUUUCACCUAGUAGCGAGCAACCUUUUCCUUAAAAGUAGAAUCUCUCAUGACAUGCACUAUUCGCACUUACUCAAACUACUCUAUACAUAAGUCAAGACUUUCCUUCGUGAAUCACAUGCCCUCACAUUAUACAAGAGAGUAAUUCUACAAUUAAUAUUAUUAAGAAUAAUUAGGAACUCAGAUGGACAAAAUUCACUCACUCUCAACAAGAACAUUCCAUGCCACAAAGAUGCACCAUAGGCUUGCCUGUUGUGUACUACUCUACUAAUCGAGCCUAUUCAAUCUAAGAUCAGUUAGGACUUCACUUGGUGUAAUUUAGGCUAAGGGAUGGGUAGGAUAUAUCUGGAUAUAGUGACUAACCUCCCUAAGCACUUUUAAUACAAUCACAUUAACCUUCCAAAUCAUACUUAUGCAACCAGAAGUUCCACCAUAUUUUAUUUAUAUCAUCUCAUUCCUUUAGGUGCAUUUGUAUCAAGCCACCACUUAUCAACUACUACAUUUAUUCAUUUUUUUACGUCGCGCUUCUUCUUUUACUCUUCCAAAACUGCACAUUUCUUUUAUUUUAUUGGUUCCACUCAAAAACCAAAACAUUACCCACACUUUAACUUUUGCAUAUGUCAAGGUCAUUCAAGUGCUCAUGGGAGGUAAAAGGGGUUCAAUCAGAUGUCUAUUCAAAUAAUUGGGUAAGGUUCGCAAUGUGGAUGUCAAAGAAAUAGUCUUAUAGGCCCAACAGGGUUAGCUACGAUGUAUUACAUUUAGGUGGGUAUACUUAUAUAUUUGGCUUAACAAAGAAAUGCCUAUACCACUUUUAAGCCUGAAUCUACUAUUUCACUUUGCAAACACACAAGGCAAGUUCUAGGCAUCAAAUGUAAAGCACAUAAUAUAGUACAGCUCACACACAUUGCACAUGACCCACUCCAGAUUGGUUAAUCAAGACACUCUCUUUUGAGUGUUCAAGUCAGUUACAAACCUACAAAUUUAAGGCACUUUAGUAAGAGUCAACCACUGAGACUAGGUGCUACACUCUAGUGCCGACUGUGUUCAAGUGUAAUAAUGCCACAGGUUUCUCUUUCUAUUUCAGUUCGUAGCCCAUCAAUACUAAUUAAAAAUUAAACAAAAACUACCUACACCUGGUUCAAUCUAAACCCUUGGAAAAGAAUCGUGGCCCAAAGAAAAACCAAGGGGGAGUUACGACACUACCUAAAAAUAAAAUAAAAAAAUCUUUUUGGUAUUUUCUGUAGACUAACUUCCCUUAAGAACUAUCUGAAACAUCUGCCAUCAGGAAGAGUCCUAAUAUUUCUUUUGUUUGACUAAUGUCGUCAAGAGACUUGUCGAAAGGCGUCCGUCUUCAGGCCAAGUCGAAGUUAAAUACAUGACCCUAUGAUACCAAGCAAUCAAAAAGAAAGAAAGCAACAUCAUACACAAUUUUACAAUCUUUAUACAAAUACAGCCAUCCCCCACCCACACUUAAAAUAUGGCAUGUCCCCAUGUCAAUAACUAGAAAGUAGAGUAAUGUAAGGGGACUUCCCUGAAGCUCAAUCUUGAUCAGAAACAGUGCAAGUAUCGAGGUGAGAUGCUCAUCCUAGCACUCGAAACCAUCCCAUAAUCCUUUUCUCUGAUUUGGCAUGUUGAGUGGCCAGAGUGUCAACUUUGCUGCGUAGGUUAGUGACUAAAGUGCAGAGACCGUCCAUUUCCUACUCCAAGGAUGUCAGGUGGGUACUUUGGCAAGCUUGUGAUGGGCCCCCUUCAUCCAUUCUUGGAGAUGGUGGUACAGCAGCAACCUCAGCCUCCUCGUCCGCUUUGUCAUCAUCCUGAACUAUCAACUUCGUCAUCAUCCUCAACUAUCACCACCGGCUCUCUUCUAAUUUUGAUUUUUCUUGCCCGGAACAGGGCUUUCAAUGGUAAUUUCUCAUCAAUUCUAAGGUUUUCUGGGACUCGAAAAACACGGCACAGCUUGGUAACCAGAGAAGGGAAGUAAAAACCCUUGAGUAUCUCAGGUGAGCGAAUGAACAUCUCAUCAUGGAGGAUCCGGGAGACAAUAAAGUUUUGGUGGGUCAUAAAGUUGUAAAUAGUCACUGCUCGUGGCCCAUUUACAUCAGUCGGUUGCUGGAGGGUAGCAACAAACUAUUGAUAAUGGUAAACCAACACUUAGCCUCCCAAUUGAGAGAUUAUGAGUUCAAUGUUAUCAGACACUUUAUCCAUAUAAACUCCCUAUCAGGAACACAUAUGACAUCAAGAAUUGGUGCCCAAUUAACCCUCGGGUGGUGACAAGCAAUGUAAUCAUCCAUGUCCCUCGUGAAUACUGGUAGUCGGUACACCCGGCGGAUGGCCUCGAGGGAUGCAUUUACCCAGGUAUUACAUAUAGUAACAACCUCGUUCUCAUGUUUUGAGCAGUUAGUAUAGAAUUCCCUCACUGUCUGUACAUUAGCCUCCUCUGGUUCCUCAAUAAAUAUGUCCACCUGACACCUCCUCAACUUAGUAAAGAUAUUUGGGCAUUCCACUUGAAAAGUUGCCCGGUCAAUUGCACCUCCGAUAACAAUUUAUUUAACGCUUUGGCAUUAUAUCGGUCCUCAGCUUUCUUACAGAAAAACAUUGUGUGGUCAAAAUAUGUUGCAGUAGUUUGGACCCAAGCUCUCAAGGAACUGCCUAGAUCCACUAGCAGAGGACCGUGUUGUGCGUCUCUUUCUAGAUGGUGGCAUUGUACAUGUCAACAGAAAAUCUCCUAUCAGUAAGGGUACGAGUUGUGUGAACUAUGGGAGGUUACUCAGACUUCACCGCAACCAUGGUCACAUUAGCCCUUAUAAAUUCAUUAGGGCAAUUCCACAAACACAUUGUGGGCAAGACACCUUCCUAACACAUAUAGCCAUAUGAAUACAUCAAUGAUUCCCUCAAAUAACAAUUCACCCUUCACCAUUUCACCCAUAACACUAGUCUUACACACACAAGCACACAUAUAUAUACAAUAUAGUUCACACCCUUCACUACAUAUUAGGCACAAAACCCAUUACAAAGCAAAAGGAAAAUCAAAAGAAAAAAUCUACAAAAAAUACUACACAAUUAAACAUCAACUACAUAAAAACUAAAAUAAAAUAAAAGAAAAGAUAGGAAGAAGCAUGCCAUACCUGGGUUGAGUAGAGAGUAAGAGGAAUGAGUGUUGAAGAAGAAGAAGAAGAAGAAGAAGAAGAAAAAGAAGAAGAAGAAGAAGAAGAGAGGAAGGGAGCGUUUGGCUAGGUUUAGAGAGAUACUGG
rnacentral:lncRNA from 1 species